AGUGAACGCUGGCGGUAGGCCUAACACAUGCAAGUCGAACGGCAGCACAGUAAGAGCUUGCUCUUACGGGUGGCGAGUGGCGGACGGGUGAGGAAUACAUCGGAAUCUACUUUUUCGUGGGGGAUAACGUAGGGAAACUUACGCUAACACCGCAUACGACCUACGGGUGAAAGCAGGGGAUCUUCGGACCUUGCGCGAGUGUAUGAGCCGAUGUCGGAUUAGCUAGUUGGCGGGGUAAAGGCCCACCAAGGCGACGAUCCGUAGCUGGUCUGAGAGGAUGAUCAGCCACACUGGAACUGAGACACGGUCCAGACUCCUACGGGAGGCAGCAGUGGGGAAUAUUGGACAAUGGGCGCAAGCCUGAUCCAGCCAUGCCGCGUGGGUGAAGAAGGCCUUCGGGUUGUAAAGCCCUUUUGUUGGGAAAGAAAAGCAGCAGGUUAAUACCCCGCUGUUCUGACGGUACCCAAAGAAUAAGCACCGGCUAACUUCGUG
rnacentral:rRNA from 1 species